UUGUUGGCUCUUUUUUUUUUAGGACUUUGGUUGUUUUAGUUUCAGGUUUGCGGCAGAUUUGGUUUGGUAAUAGAGUGUCAUCAAUCAAGUUAGGUUUAAAGAAAAUUGGUGUGAAAAAGAAAAAGUGAUUUCAAUUGUUUUUACGCCAAUUGUAAUUUUAUUUUAUCUGCAGUUUUAUUUUUUGCUGGUUUGGUGGUAAGGUGUCACAUGCAAUGGCUGUUGCGCUUGAUGUCUACAACUUGUUUGCGUAUUUACUGACAUUGAUUGUUAUGUAAAUAGUUAUUUUGUACGUAUGUAUGUAUGUAUGUAUGUAUGAUAGAUUUGGUGGUAAGGUGUCAGUAAUCAUGAUAAAUUUGGUGGUAAGGUGCCAGUAAUCAAGGACCAGCUUAGAAUUUGUCGACAAAGUUGGGUGAAUCCAUGUAUGACGUGAGGGUCCUUCGCCACAUUUUAAUGCAGAUUUAUUCCAAUGUAAAUGGUUUUUCAAGCGUGUCUCUUGGAAGGGCUGUUACUCCUGAUGUCUACAAAUUGUUUGAGUUUUUCUAUUUUCAGAUUCAUGAUAAAUUUGGUGGUAAGGUGCCAGUAAUCAAGGACCAGCUUAGAAUUUGUCGACAAAGUUGGGUGAAUCCAUGUAUGACGUGAGGGUCCUUCGCCACAUUUUAAUGCAGAUUUAUUCCAAUGUAAAUGGUUUUUCAAGCGUGUCUCUUGGAAGGGCUGUUACUCCUGAUGUCUACAAAUUGUUUGAGUUUUUCUAUUUUCAGAUUCAUGAUAAAUUUGGUGGUAAGGUGUUAAUAAUCAAGGACCAGCUUAGGAUUUGUCGAGCAAAAUUGGGUGUUUCCGUGCAUCCUGUUUGACCCUUGUUUCGAUGACCAUGCAUUCCAAAAGGCUACCCUUAACGUAUUGGGAUUGUUGUUGUUGCUGCUGUUAUUUGUGUGCAUGAAUAAAUUUGUAUUGGCUGGAUGUCAAUGUUGCCUGUGA
rnacentral:sRNA from 15 species